UACGUAGGGCGCAAGCGUUGUCCGGAAUUAUUGGGCGUAAAGAGCUCGUAGGUGGUUUGUCGCGUCUGUUGUGAAAGCCCGGGGCUUAACUCCGGGUUUGCAGUGGAUACGGGCGGGCUGGAGUUCGGUAGGGGAGACUGGAAUUCCUGGUGUAGCGGUGAAAUGCGCAGAUAUCAGGAGGAACACCGGUGGCGAAGGCGGGUCUCUGGGCCGUAACUGACGCUGAGGAGCGAAAGCGUGGGGAGCGAACAGG
rnacentral:rRNA from 1 species